GACGAACGCUGGCGGCGUGCUUAACACAUGCAAGUCGAACGGAAAGGCCCUGCUUUUGUGGGGUGCUCGAGUGGCGAACGGGUGAGUAACACGUGAGUAACCUGCCCUUGACUUUGGGAUAACUUCAGGAAACUGGGGCUAAUACCGGAUAGGAGCUCCUGCUGCAUGGUGGGGGUUGGAAAGUUUCGGCGGUUGGGGAUGGACUCGCGGCUUAUCAGCUUGUUGGUGGGGUAGUGGCUUACCAAGGCUUUGACGGGUAGCCGGCCUGAGAGGGUGACCGGCCACAUUGGGACUGAGAUACGGCCCAGACUCCUACGGGAGGCAGCAGUGGGGAAUAUUGCACAAUGGGCGGAAGCCUGAUGCAGCAACGCCGCGUGCGGGAUGACGGCCUUCGGGUUGUUAACCGCUUUCGCCUGUGACGAAGCGUGAGUGACGGUAAUAGGUAAAGAAGCACCGGCUAACUACGUG
rnacentral:rRNA from 1 species